GACGAACGCUGGCGGCGUGCUUAACACAUGCAAGUCGAACGGGCCCGCCCCUUUGGGGGUGGGUUGAGUGGCGAACGGGUGAGUAUCACGUGAGUAACCUGCCCCCUGCUCCUGGAUAACUGCUUGAAAGGGCGGCUAAUACGGGGUGUGCCGGCUGGUCCGCAUGGGCCUGGUCGGGAUAGUUUCAUCUUCGGGUGUUUCGGUGGGGGAUGGGCUCGCGGCCUAUCAGCUUGUUGGUGGGGGGAUGGCCCACCAAGGCGGUGACGGGUAGCCGGCCUGAGAGGGUGGGCGGCCACACUGGGACUGAGACACGGCCCAGACUCCUGCGGGAGGCAGCAGUGGGGGGUAUUGCACAAUGGGCGGAAGCCUGAUGCAGCGACGUCGCGUGAGGGAUGGAGGCCUUCGGGUUGUGAACCUCUUUCUCCGGUGGUGAAGGCCCUGUCCGUUGCGGCGGGGUUGACGGUAGCCGGGUAUGAAGCGCCGGCUAACUACGUGCCAGCAGCCGCAGUAACAC
rnacentral:rRNA from 1 species